rnacentral:lncRNA from 1 species
GGAAGGAAAAAUGUAGAUACAAGAUUUAGGAGAAUGAUGAGCUUAAUGAAGAUUGUAACAACUUUAAAUUAACAUCAUCAACCCCGUCGUCGUUGCCGGCACCAUCAACAUCGCCCAUUAGAUGAAAUGAUAUAAUGAGGUAAUAGAAAACUUACAGAGUUUUGUUUUUCCUCCCUUUUUUUCCUUUUUGGUUAUCAUCUACAAAAUGAUAUUUAGAUUUUCAAGGUAAUAUUAUUUUAAAAUAAAAAUUAUUGAGCUUUCUUUUUUUUAUUUUUUUUAAUUGGCUAAAGUGUUGUUUUUUCUCUAUUUUAUUUCAUUUUUGUGAUAUAAUAGGAAGGAAAAAUGUAGAUACACGAUUUAGGAGAAUGAUGAGCUCAAUGAAGAUUGUAACAACUUUAAAUUAACAUCAUCAACCCCGUCGUCGUUGCCGGCACCAUCAACAUCGCCCAUUAGAUGAAAUGAUAUAACGAGGUAAUAGAAAACUUACAGAGUUUUUUUUUUCUCCCUUUUUUUUCUUUUUUUAAGGGAAAAUAGAGAAAUAAGUUUGCAAAAGAGGGGAGUUGUAUGAUUUUAUUCAAACUAGGUUUUAUAGAAAAGGUUGAUGCUUCUAUAUAUAUUUGUGAGGUGUGUGCAUUUUUAGUUUUUUUUCCCUGCUUCCUUUUGCUUUUUUUCUUUUUUUAUUUAUUUUUGCUUCACUUCUCGCUAAAUUCUUAUAAGUUUAUGAGUUACUUUUUUUUAUUUGCUUCAUUGUUGGUUAAAAGUUUAUGAGUUUCAUUAAAAGAUAGGUUAAAAAAAACUUAAACUAUCCACUUUAAUUUUUUUCGAAAAAAGAAACUCUUUAUAAUAGUUUUGAUGUUAUUUAUUUUCUCUCCGUCUCAAGGUUUGUAAUGAAAAGGCAAUGGGAAAAGAAAAAGGAGGGUGACAUUUUUGAGUGUUUUUUUCUUCUUGAAUUGAAUAAUAUAGCAAUCCCAUUUAUGAAGGAAUAGGCAAUAUUUUUUUGUUAUCUUUCUAAAUGUUGGCUUUUAGUACAAUUAUGAGAGAGAUGUUGCAAUCAUAAAAAUACAGUAUCACCUUCAAUUCAAAAAGAUAACAAUCAAUCUUUUUUCUACGGUAAAAUAUACUUACUUGCUAUUUUAUGUUAUUACGUUACCAUAUACAUUUUAAAAUUUUAAUUAUUAUUAUUACUUUUUAACUAAAAAAGUUUAAAGUUUUAUUUCUAUUAUCUACCCGCAACAUCGCGCGGGUUUCUGUACUAGUAUAGCACUAAGAAUGUAACUCUUCGACAAAAAAUAUUUAUGCAGAUAGU